AACGGCCGUACCAUGCUGAAUAUACCGGUUCUCGUUAGAUCACCGAAGUGAAGCAUCAGUACUUGGGUGGGUGACCACCUGGGAACACCGCGUGCCGUU